rnacentral:rRNA from 1 species
AUGAACUAAUUCACACUGUGAAACUGCGGAUGGCUCAUUAAAUCAUUUAUAKUUUUUUUGAUGGUMCCAUACUACUCGRAUAACCGKAGUAAUUCUAAAGCUAAUACUGUGCACCAAGUCCCGACUCUUUGGARGGAAUGCWUUUUUUAUAUAAAAGGCCGGCGCGGGCUUGCCCGCUUCUCCGGUGAAUCAUGAUAACUCCACGGAUCGCACACCCCUUGWGCUGGCGAUGCUUCAUUCAAAUUUCUGCCCUAUCAACUUUCGAUGGWAGGAUAKAGGCCUACCAUGGUGGUGACGGGUGACGGASAAUUAGGGUUCGAUUCCGGARAGGGAGCCUGAGAAACGGCUACCACAUCCAAGGAAGGCASCAGGCGCGCAAAUUACCCAAUCCUGACUUGGGGAGGUAGUGACAAUAAAUAACAAUACUGGGCUCAUCGAGUCUGGUAAUUGGAAUGAGUACAAUCUAAAUCCCUUAACGAGGAUCCA